CUGCCUCCUGCAGUUCGGGGGCCCGAAGGCACCGAGCAGAACCGCGUGCGCAACAAACUAAAGCGGCUCAUCGCGAAGAGACCGCCCUUACAAAGCCUACAGGAGCGGGGUCUGCUCCGAGAUCAGGUGUUCGGCUGCCAGUUGGAAUCACUCUGCCAGCGGGAAGGAGACACGGUGCCCAGCUUUGUGCGGCUCUGCAUUGCUGCUGUGGAUAAAAGAGGUCUAGAUGUGGAUGGCAUUUAUCGGGUGAGCGGGAACUUGGCAGUGGUCCAGAAGCUUCGCUUUCUGGUGGACAGAGAGCGUGCGGUCACCUCCGAUGGGAGGUAUGUGUUCCCAGAACAGCCAGGACAAGAAGGUCGGCUAGAUUUGGACAGUACUGAGUGGGAAGACAUUCAUGUGGUCACCGGAGCCCUGAAGCUUUUUCUCCGGGAGCUGCCUCAGCCUCUGGUGCCAUCACUGCUGCUGCCCCAUUUCCGUGCUGCCCUUGCACUCUCCGAAUCAGAGCAGUGCCUCUCUCAGAUACAAGAAUUAAUAGGCUCAAUGCCAAAACCCAACCAUGACACUCUACGGUACCUCCUGGAGCAUUUAUGCAGGGUGAUAGCACACUCAGAUAAGAAUCGCAUGACACCCCACAACCUGGGAAUUGUGUUUGGACCAACCCUGUUUCGGCCAGAGCAGGAGACAUCUGACCCAGCAGCCCAUGCUCUCUACCCAGGGCAGCUGGUCCAGCUGAUGCUCACCAACUUCACCAGCCUCUUCCCCUGACGCAGGGAAGGAAGAAGAGAAAACAUAUUUCCAGUCAUCU
rnacentral:sRNA from 1 species